UUUUUUCUGGUGCCUUUGCUGGUCCUGCGUCCACUUACUCGGGAGUAAGUGCCCCUGAACUCUGCGGGAUCAGGUUCAGCACUCUCUUUUCGACAGUCUUUCAAUUAAGAGGCGAUGAGUCCCUAAGCACGUUUGCUUAAGGGUCACUUCAGUGACUUGCCACCACCCUCACCCAAAAGUCCUCCAAGAGAGAAAACCAAAGCAAUUUCAAAGAUUGGCCAGCCCAUUCAACAAGCUCAGGCUGUUUUUUUGUUUUUUGUUUAAUGUAUGUUUGAAGCUGCACUGACUACAUGCUUCUUAAGUAGUUGCAGAACAAGGGUUAGGGCUACCUGCCUCGCUGGGAUUCUCCACUUUAACCCUUCACGCAGUCAUUUGCAGAACAGCUGCUAAGAAAUGCUGUUUCCCAGUCCUGUGCAGGAUCAUGGAGCAAAGGCCUGGGCGUUCUUCUGCUUUCACCAGUUUCCUUGGCCAUCUUCCCCUCAGCUUGACUCUGAGAUGAAAAACCAGCCAACCAAGGCAAAAACAGCCUUGGAGGGAUCCCAGCAGGCAGGAGAAGAAGAAAUCAGCAUGAAUGUCCCACAGCUAAAGGACUAUACAAGGAACUGACAUAAAUGUUUGCCCUGAAAAAAGUAGUUGUAACGUCCAUUUUAUUAUCACACACUUGACUAGUACAAUGUACAAAUUAAUAUAAACACAAUACCUGUAAGAAGAUCUCCAGCGGUCCCCCUGCCCCACCCCCUUCAAAAGGCUUGCUGCUGAACUUUUAUCUUGGAUGUCAAAGGCUGGCAAUUUGCAGUCCUUUAGACUGAAAUGUUACUUGAGCAAAUAUAAACUUGUGUGCAUACAACGCAAAGCAAUCCCAGCAUCUACUUCUCUGUGGUAAAUAUAAUGCUUAUUGUGCAAAUCCAUCUGUGCACUGCACAUUGAUUCUGCAUAAAGUUUUUUUUUUAAGUAUGACAAGCACUCAGUGAGAAAGAAAUUUUUGAGAGCAUCUCUACUUGUUAGUCAUUACAACACAAAGGAGCAUUGUAUUUCUGAGUGGAAUAAACUC